CACUGGGAGAGGAAAGGUGGUGAUAUCAGGAGCACUGGGAGAGGAAAGGUGGUGAUAUCAGGAGCACUGGGAGAGGAAAGGUGGUGAUAUCAGGAGCACUGGGAG